rnacentral:rRNA from 1 species
GUGGGGAAUAUUGGACAAUGGGCGAAAGCCUGAUCCAGCCAUGCCGCGUGUGUGAAGAAGGUCUUCGGAUUGUAAAGCACUUUAAGUUGGGAGGAAGGGCAGUAAGUUAAUACCUUGCUGUUUUGACGUUACCGACAGAAUAAGCACCGGCUAACUUCGUGCCAGCAGCCGCGGUAAUACGAAGGGUGCAAGCGUUAAUCGGAAUUACUGGGCGUAAAGUGCGCGUAGGUGGUUCAGCAAGUUGAAGGUGAAAUCCCCGGGCUCAACCUGGGAACUGCCACCAAAACUACUGAGCUAGAGUACGGUAGAGGGUAGUGGAAUUUCCUGUGUAGCGGUGAAAUGCGUAGAUAUAGGAAGGAACAUCAGUGGCGAAGGCGACUACCUGGACUGAUACUGACACUGAGGUGCGAAAGCGUGGGGAGCAAACAGGAUUAGAAACCCCAGUAGUCC